rnacentral:tRNA from 1 species
CUCCCUGUAGCUCAACUGGACAGAGCGAUUGCCUUCUAAGCAGUAGGUUGCAGGUUCGAGUCCUGCCAGGGAGA